GCUCCGGUGGUGUAGCCCGGUUAAGCAUAGCGGCCUUAUCUUAAGGCUUAAAAGCCUUAGAGGCCAAUCGAGCCGCUGAUCGCGGGUUCAAAUCCCGCCCGGAGCACCA
rnacentral:tRNA from 1 species